AACGAACGUUGGCGGCGUGGAUUAGGCAUGCAAGUCGCACGAGAAAGGUUUCGCAAGAGACCGAGUAAAGUGGCGGACGGGUGAGUAAUGCAUGGAUAACCUACCCUCGAGAUGGGAACAACACCUUGAAAGGGGUGCUAAUACCCAAUGCCGUCCCGCAUCUGCGGACGCGGGAUGAAAGGAGGCCUCUGAUUCAAGCUUCCGCUCGAGGAGGGGUCCAUGUCCUAUUAGCUAGUUGGUGAGGUAACAGCUUACCAAGGCUUCGAUGGGUAGCCGACCUGAGAGGGUGACCGGCCACAUUGGGACUGAGACACUGCCCAGACUCCUACGGGUGGCAG
rnacentral:rRNA from 1 species